UGUCUCCUCCAACUCUCCUCAAAAAGAAUUGGAUUUCAAGCCCACUCCCGAGUGGGCUUUUUUUU
rfam:Massilia sp. CF038 genome assembly, contig: Ga0115467_104